CCUACGGGAGGCAGCAGUGAGGAAUAUUGGUCAAUGGACGAGAGUCUGAACCAGCCAAGUAGCGUGAAGGAUGACUGCCCUAUGGGGUGUAAACUUCUUUUAUAGGGGAAUAAAAUGUUCCACGUGUGGGAUUUUGUAUGUACCAUAUGAAUAAGGAUCGGCUAACUCCGUGCCAGCAGCCGCGGUAAGACGGAGGAUCCGAGCGUUAUCCGGCUUUAUUGGGGUUAACGGGAGCGUAGGGGGAUUGUUAAGUCAGGUGUGAAAGUUUGCGGCUCCACCGUAAAAUUGCAGUUGAAACUGGCAGUCUUGCGUACAGUAGAGGUGGGCGGCAUUCGUGGUGUCGCGG
rnacentral:rRNA from 1 species